rnacentral:lncRNA from 1 species
UGGAAGUAUUCACUAGAUAUUCACCAGCGUCCUUUGGCUCCUUUUGUCCAAGUCCAGACCACGUGCAGCAUUCCACCGGGACAGACGUGCGCUCACCUGAAGAUGUGCCUCUCACCUCCUUCUAUCCAAGAAAGAUGGCCCAGAAGAAGAGUUUACAGUAUGAAGAUAAAUGCUAUCAACAACACUGGAUGAACAAGAGGCCCUAAUGCAGCGGCCAACCCAAGGCCCUGUCACACAUCCAUGCUCAGUGCAGUUGUGUCGGUGCUGGCACCUGGCCCUGAGGGCAGGGAGCCCUGUGCCAGCCAUGAGCUCUGCGCCAGGAUGUUCUCCUCCAGGCACUCUGCUGGCGUCGCUGUGCUCAGGGCUGCCAAAGCUGCCUGCACGAACAAACACAGAGCUCUGGAACUGCCACCUGGCUGUCUCUCGAGCUCUCUUCUUUUAUUUAUCUCGGUAGCAGCAGCAGCCAAGGUUUGGAGCAGGCUGUGGCAUCAGGAGCUGGAGAAUCGCAGGAACAUCACUGGGCUCAGGUAUCUGCAAAGCCACCACCGACAAAAGGAAGCAAAACAACAACUUGAGGACACUUACGUACAAUGUACAGAGGCUGUGUCUGGAGUAACACAAGUGCUUCUCAGACUCCAAAACCUUUUAUCCCAAAAGCCAGUGUGGUCACCUUUCCAACACACUUUCUGUUCCUAAUUGCAUGACCAGACAAGAAGAAGAUAAAAAGAAAUUUUCAUGUGCGCAUCUCAGGCAUGCAGUGCCUGGCUUUUAGCAGACAGCCUGCAGUGGGGGCUCUAAUGUGAUGCACAUCAUUUGGAGGUGUAUGAGCAAUAGGAAUGACCUGCCAU